rnacentral:rRNA from 1 species
CAGCAGCCGCGGUAAUACAGAGGGUGCGAGCGUUAAUCGGAUUUACUGGGCGUAAAGCGUGCGUAGGCGGCUUCUUAAGUCGGAUGUGAAAUCCCUGAGCUUAACUUAGGAAUUGCAUUCGAUACUGGGAAGCUAGAGUAUGGGAGAGGAUGGUAGAAUUCCAGGUGUAGCGGUGAAAUGCGUAGAGAUCUGGAGGAAUACCGAUGGCGAAGGCAGCCAUCUGGCCUAAUACUGACGCUGAGGUACGAAAGCAUGGGGAGCAAACAGGAUUAGAUACCCCAGUAGUCCCUGUCUCUUAUAC